rnacentral:sRNA from 1 species
AAAUAAAAGUUUGCAUCGGCUAAGGCCUGAUGCCUGUUCUGCAUACAUUGUGAAGAGAAGAUUGAUCUGGAGGCUUCCAGGUGUUUUGGGUUUUGGCCCGAAACGUCCGAGCCCAGUUCUGCUGAUCCUAUGGAUGGCCUAGCCGGCCGGAGAUAGGGGAAGGACUGGAGUGAGGUCGGAAGCUUGUCGCUCUGGAUCGUUUGUUGUUCGUGGCUUCGGCCUCGUCUGAUGAACGAUCGGAUUACCGUUGCCUGACCGCGCGGUAUCGGAUCCAAUCUCGAGAAGCUGGUCUUAAGACCUGACACAAGCGAGCUGCUCGGCGUAGCUCCAAUAAAGUGCUCAGGUCGAACACGUCGAUGGCAUCAUGAAUGGUCUGGGUUGUAAAAGGUAACC